CUGUAAACCCCUUCAAAGCUUUUGAUCACGUUUCUUAUCUUGCACAUCAAACCUCGCCAUAAACAUUCCCCAUUUACCGGAAUAUCGUCGGAGCAUAUGAUGUGUCGGGAUACGCGGAGGAUCGCGGUAGGAACCAUUCUUCGACUCUUUAAUGAUUGAUAGCACCUCUAUUCACGUCAGCACUGCAAUGGGACUCGUCGAAAACACGAAGACGUCACUGGACGUACCCGAAGCCCUCCUUCUUUCGACUCGGCUCGGUUUUCUCUCACACGAACACUUGGGUUUGGUUGAUCCAUUUGGAACGAAUAGUGAAACGUGACAUACCGAGCAAUCUAAGGUCGUUAGGGAAUGGAAACAGGAGCUUGCUGGCUGGAGGACAGGAGUGGUCAUGGUCACACUGAUGGGCUCAUUUGUUAAACACUUAUUUAUCAUGUUGAUUAGUAUUACUUUAUGAUACAAUAAUGCUUCCGCUGAACUUGAUGGUUUUUUUUGAAUUACUUAU